AAAUUGAAGAGUUUGAUCAUGGCUCAGAUUGAACGCUGGCGGCAGGCCUAACACAUGCAAGUCGAACGGUAACAGGAAGCAGCUUGCUGCUUUGCUGACGAGUGGCGGACGGGUGAGUAAUGUCUGGGAAACUGCCUGAUGGAGGGGGAUAACUACUGGAAACGGUGGCUAAUACCGCAUAACGUCGCAAGACCAAAGAGGGGGACCUUCGGGCCUCUUGCCAUCAGAUGUGCCCAGAUGGGAUUAGCUUGUUGGUGAGGUAACGGCUCACCAAGGCGACGAUCCCUAGCUGGUCUGAGAGGAUGACCAGCCACACUGGAACUGAGACACGGUCCAGACUCCUACGGGAGGCAGCAGUGGGGAAUAUUGCACAAUGGGCGCAAGCCUGAUGCAGCCAUGCCGCGUGUAUGAAGAAGGCCUUCGGGUUGUAAAGUACUUUCAGCGGGGAGGAAGGUGUUGUGGUUAAUAACCGCAGCAAUUGACGUUACCCGCAGAAGAAGCACCGGCUAACUCCGUGCCAGCAGCCGCGGUAAUACGGAGGGUGCAAGCGUUAAUCGGAAUUACUGGGCGUAAAGCGCACGCAGGCGGUCUGUCAAGUCGGAUGUGAAAUCCCCGGGCUCAACCUGGGAACUGCAUUCGAAACUGGCAGGCUUGAGUCUUGUAGAGGGGGGUAGAAUUCCAGGUGUAGCGGUGAAAUGCGUAGAGAUCUGGAGGAAUACCGGUGGCGAAGGCGGCCCCCUGGACAAAGACUGACGCUCAGGUGCGAAAGCGUGGGGAGCAAACAGGAUUAGAUACCCUGGUAGUCCACGCCGUAAACGAUGUCUACUUGGAGGUUGUGCCCUUGAGGCGUGGCUUCCGGAGCUAACGCGUUAAGUAGACCGCCUGGGGAGUACGGCCGCAAGGUUAAAACUCAAAUGAAUUGACGGGGGCCCGCACAAGCGGUGGAGCAUGUGGUUUAAUUCGAUGCAACGCGAAGAACCUUACCUGGUCUUGACAUCCACAGAACUUUCCAGAGAUGGACUGGUGCCUUCGGGAACUGUGAGACAGGUGCUGCAUGGCUGUCGUCAGCUCGUGUUGUGAAAUGUUGGGUUAAGUCCCGCAACGAGCGCAACCCUUAUCCUUUGUUGCCAGCGAUUAGGUCGGGAACUCAAAGGAGACUGCCAGUGAUAAACUGGAGGAAGGUGGGGAUGACGUCAAGUCAUCAUGGCCCUUACGACCAGGGCUACACACGUGCUACAAUGGCGCAUACAAAGAGAAGCGACCUCGCGAGAGCAAGCGGACCUCAUAAAGUGCGUCGUAGUCCGGAUUGGAGUCUGCAACUCGACUCCAUGAAGUCGGAAUCGCUAGUAAUCGUGGAUCAGAAUGCCACGGUGAAUACGUUCCCGGGCCUUGUACACACCGCCCGUCACACCAUGGGAGUGGGUUGCAAAAGAAGUAGGUAGCUUAACCUUCGGGAGAGCGCUUACCACUUUGUGAUUCAUGACUGGGGUGAAGUCGUAACAAGGUAACCGUAGGGGAACCUGCGGUUGGAUCACCUCCUUACCUUAAAGAAGC
rnacentral:rRNA from 1 species